UGGUGGAGUGAUUUGUCUGGUUAAUUCCGUUAACGGCGAACUCUCCUGGGUUCGUACAACACUUCUUAGAGGGACUAUCGUGCGUGUAGCCGAUGGAAGUUCGAGGCAAUAACA
rnacentral:rRNA from 1 species